rnacentral:rRNA from 1 species
AUACGGAGGGUGCGAGCGUUACGCGGAUUCACUGGGCGUAAAGGGCGUGUAGGCGGCAGGGCAAGUCCGGCGUUAAAUCCCACGGCUCAACCGUGGACCUGCGUCGGAUACUGCCCCGCUAGACGGCGGGAGAGGGGAGCGGAAUUCCCGGAGUAGCGGUGAAAUGCGUAGAUACCGGGAGGAACGCCGAUGGCGAAGGCAGCUCCCUGGACCGCCCGUGACGCUGAGGCGCGAAAGCGUGGGGAGCAAACCGGAUUAGAAACCCUAGUAGUCC